GUCUAUGGCCAUACUACCCUGAACACGCCCAAUCUUGUCUUAUCUCGGAAGCUAAGCAGGGUUGGUCCUGGUUAGUACUUGAAUGGGAGAUAAACA
rnacentral:rRNA from 1 species